rnacentral:misc_RNA from 1 species
AUAUGGAAUUAAAAUCAAAUUUUAAUACUUCCCAUAACAAAGUUCGCGAAGAAAAGGAAAAACAGAAAAAAGGAGAUUCAGAUGAGUGGGAUCACACAAAAGCUUUGAAUAAAUGUAUGAGCAAUCUAAGCACUUUUUUGGGACCAUCGGACUCGAAAGAAUGGGAAGAAAUAAAACCAUUAGUUGAUAAACUGGAGAACGCGUGGCAACUAGACAAGUUACCAGUCUCAAUUCAAAAAUCUGUUAUCGAAGUCUCCGAAAUGUUACGAAUAAAAGACUACAGACAAGCGGAACUUUGUUAUCUGGCCAUGAUGAUGGAGUGCGACGCCGAAUGUAAAAGCUUUUUAGCUGGAAUCAGGCGACUUAUCGAUAAACUAAAAUAGCAACCGGCAAAAAUUGUACGAGCUUCUGAAUUAUCAAUCAAUGUUGCUCAAAAAUUCACGUAUUUUCAGUUUUAUACAUAAUUAAAUCAAUACACCUAAGAAAAUUUA